GUUGCCGGAACAUGUGGUGUAGCGGUGAAAUGCAUAGAUAUCACAUAGAACACCGAUCGCGAAGGCAGGUGACCAACCAUGUACUGACGCUGAUGGACGAAAGCGUGGGUAGCGAACGGGAUUAGAUACCCCGGUAGUCCACGCCGUAAACGAUGGAUACUAGCUGUGGGGACUUCGGUCUCCGUGGCCAAGCGAAAGUGAUAAGUAUCCCACCUGGGGAGUACGUUCGCAAGAAUGAAACUCAAAGGAAUUGACGGGGGCCCGCACAAGCGGUGGAGCAUGUGGUUUAAUUCGAUGAUACGCGAGGAACCUUACCAGGGCUUAAAUGCAGGCUGCAUGGGGUAGAGAUACCCCUUUCUUCGGACCGCCUGCAAGGUGCUGCAUGGUUGUCGUCAGCUCGUGCCGUGAGGUGUCAGGUUAAGUCCUAUAACGAGCGCAACCCCUACCGUUAGUUGCCAGCAUGUCAAGAUGGGGACUCUAACGGGACUGCCGGUGCAAACCGUGAGGAAGGUGGGGACGACGUCAAAUCAUCACGGCCCUUACGUCCUGGGCUACACACGUGCUACAAUGGCCGGUACAGAGGGAAGCCACCCCGCAAGGGGGCGCGGAUCUACAAAACCGGUCACAGUUCGGAUCGGGGUCUGCAACUCGACCCCGUGAAGCUGGAAUCGCUAGUAAUCGGAUAUCAGCCAUGAUCC
rnacentral:rRNA from 1 species